AUUACAAUACGAAACAGCUGUCAAAACAGAUAAUAAUGAAGCAAGUGUUUUUAUGUGGAUUGUUAUUUUGCAGUAUUAUUGUCGUGGUCAACGGACAAGGAUACCGUCCAAGGCGUCCUCCAUCCAAUCCAAUGUGUAGUUAACCGCGUGAGCCUGGUCCGUGCAGAGGUUCCUGCCCCCGGUAUUACUACGACUCCAGAAGAGGCACCUGUCGUUCCUUUACCUAUGGAUGCUGUGGUGGAAAUGCAAACAACUUUCAAACAAGACAGCUUUGUAAUAGAGUUUGUAACACUAGAGUCUGUCCUGUAAUACCUUGUUUUGUUGGACCAUGUACUGUUCAGACUUGUCCGGAGUAUCCUGAGGCCACUUGUGUUGCUGUUUGCCCAUGCACAUCUGUUUGGAUAUAUAAUGGAGAAGACGUCUCAAACCGUUGUUUCAACAGAGGUUAAUUUAUAAUCAGCGUUCAAGACCAUGAUGCGAAUAAAAAAAAAUGAUAACA